AGCCUAUUGGUAUUUACGCAUUUUUUAUGCUGCUGUAUGUAUUGUUUAUUUAAGAACGAAAACAAUUACCGGCCUUGGCUGAAAGACUAUGAAAAUCUGAGAGCGAAAACGACCAACGCAUAUAAAUUUUACCUGUAGUCCGUUUAAUUCUGUGGUCUUUAAACUAUAUAAUACAAAAACGAAAAACAAAAAGAAAACGGUGAAAAAAAAAAACCUAAUUCUUCGCC